rnacentral:rRNA from 1 species
AUUGAACGCUGGCGGCAUGCUUUACACAUGCAAGUCGAACGGUAACAGGUCUUCGGAUGCUGACGAGUGGCGAACGGGUGAGUAAUACAUCGGAACGUGCCUGGUAGUGGGGGAUAACUACUCGAAAGAGUAGCUAAUACCGCAUGAGAUCUACGGAUGACAGCAGGGGACCUUCGGGCCUUGUGCUACUAGAGCGGCUGAUGGCAGAUUAGGUAGUGGGUGGGGUAAAGGCUUACAAAGCCUGCGAUCUGUAGCUGGUCUGAGAGGACGACCAGCCACACUGGGACUGAGACACGGCCCAGACUCCUACGGGAGGCAGCAGUGGGGAAUUUUGGACAAUGGGCGAAAGCCUGAUCCAGCAAUGCCGCGUGCAGGAUGAAGGCCCUCGGGUUGUAAACUGCUUUUGUACGGAACGAAAAGCCUGGGGCUAAUAUCCCCGGGUCAUGACGGUACCGUAAGAAUAAGCACCGGCUAACUACGUGCCAGCAGCCGCCGUAAAAC